rnacentral:snRNA from 21 species
AUACUUACCUUGUUUGGGUGACCGUGAUCAACAAGACGUUCUCACCACAGACUGGUCCCUGCAUUGCACAGCGUGGCGGAACAGUCUGUUCAAUGGUUCUUUAUGGGUCAUUGACAGGCGUAUUCUUUGGCACCUCCAUUCGUGGAGUC